GUUCCAUGAGAUUUUCUAACUUCUUGCAAGAAGUUAGAAAGUCUCAUGGAACUUUUUUUUUGUCUCACAAACACAUGAAGGCUGAGAAGAAAGGGAAUGCUGCUGAAAGCAGGUGAGUAAAAAAAAACACUUGUGGGAGAUGAGGGCAUCUGGAUGGGGGCGGGGGGGACCCAGGCAAUGCGUCAUGCAGCUCUAGCAGAAUCUCCACUGAAAACUGCUUGAGGCUGCCUGUUACCCACAAGGCCACCGCCAAUCAGCUGGAGCUCCAUGCUUUGAUCCUGGGCUCUCAGUAAGACCCAGGCAACAUGCAGUUCCAACUGACUUUGCCACAAGCUUGUGUGGCACUGCUGCCACAUCACCUCAUCCACUUUUACACUUUUUAAAUAUUUUUUUUACAUUUUUUUUACUAUUUUUUAACAUUUUUUUUCAACCCAUCCUAUGCGUACCACCAGCCAGGUACAGUGGUACGCGUACCACUGGUUGAAAAGCCCUGUCCUAGCAGAGUAAGGGCACCUCCUUUCAAGGGAACUCUGCCAACCAUUUUCAGACCAAAAAGGGGUCCAUGAGGUCCUGCUGCUCCCCUACACAAAGGGGGAGGAAUAUGCCAGGGGCCAUCUGCCUUAUCACCGCUCCAUUGUAAAGAUGAGGCUACGCCUGGGAAAUGUCUCUUAUCAUUCUGGUUUCCAAACCAACUUCGCACCUGUGGAUUGGCUGGAAACAAACAGGACAAUUGGGCUCUAGGAAGGAUUUUGAAAAGCGAUAUUUUAAUGUAGCAUUCUGCGCGGGAAUUCUUUAGAUCUUGCCUUGCCUUUCUGUUUUCACUGAUUCUCAAUAAAUGUUCCUGUUUGAAAGAA